rnacentral:tRNA from 1 species
UUCCUCGAUAGCUCAGCGGCAGAGCAUUCGGCUGUUAACCGAAGGGUCGUUGGUUCGAACCCAACUCGGGGAGU